UUAAGUUCAGCGGGUAUUCCUACCUGAUUCGAGGUCAACUCUUAAAAGUUGGGCGUUUUACGGCAGUGGCCGCGUCGGGCUCCCGUUGCGAGGUUGUGCUACUACGCAGGGGUGGCACGCGACGAGGCCGCCAAUUCAUUUCGGGGGCGGUGGACGCACCGGGCACGCGCCCCGGAGGGCGGGCUCGGGCGAGGUCGCCG
rnacentral:misc_RNA from 1 species